AAGUCAUAUGCUUGUCUUAAAGAUUAAGCCAUGCAUGUCUAAGUAUAAAUAGUAUACAGUGAAACUGCGAAUGGCUCAUUAAAACAGUUAUAGUUUAUUUGAUAAUGAAAUCACAUGGAUAACCGUGGUAAUUCUAGAGCUAAUACAUGCAUCAAAUCCCGACUUACGAAGGGGGGCAUUUAUUAGAUUUAACCAUCACUAGGUGAAUCAUAGUAACUUUUCUGAUCACGCGACAGCGUGACAAAUCAUUCAAGUUUCUGCCCUAUCAGCUUUCGAUGGUAGUGUAUUGGACUACCAUGGCAGUCACGGGUAACGGAGAAUUAGGGUUCGAUUCCGGAGAGGGAGCCUGAGAAACGGCUACCACAUCUAAGGAAGGCAGCAGGCGCGUAAAUUACCCAAUCCCGAUUCGGGGAGGUAGUGACAAGAAAUAACAACUCAGAUGGUUAUCCAUUUUGAGAUUGCAAUGAGAUAAAUCCAAAAACCUAAGCGAUUAUCAAUUGGAGGGCAAGUCUGGUGCCAGCAGCCGCGGUAAUUCCAGCUCCAAUAGCGUAUACUUAAGUUGUUGCAGUUAAAAAGCUCGUAGUUGAAAUUCGGUCUGCCAGUCUUCGGACAUCAUGGCGGAUCUCCGCUUACAAUCUACUCGAGCUUUAAACCUUGAGUUGUAGAGUAGGCAGUUUACCUUGAAAAAAUUAGAGUGUUUCAGGCAGGUUUUCGCCGGAAUACAUUAGCAUGGAAUAAUGGAAUAGGACUUUAGCCU
rnacentral:rRNA from 1 species